AUACUUAUCUGGCAGCGGUGAUACCGUGGUCAUGGAGGUGGUUUUCCCAGUGCAAGGCUUAUCAUUCAUUGCACUUCAGAAAUACUGACCGCUGCAAUUUCUCCAAAUGCAGGAAAUUCAACUGCAUAAUUUGUGGUAGUGGGGAACUGUGCUUGUGCUCUCCCCUG
ensembl:snRNA U1 U1 spliceosomal RNA